rnacentral:lncRNA from 1 species
CGAACUUAUCAAGAUUUAAUAUCUUGUGGCGUUCAAAAAAAUCAUCGGGUGAGAUUCUUUGGGUUGUGUAAUCAAACGAUCCUUCAUAUCGCCAUUAUCGUUGGGUUGUUUGAUUCAUUAAUUCUUUGGGUCAAGUCCACAAUCCAGAGGAGAUUUCAAGAUUGUGUGAUUAAGAGGUCGUUCGGUUCAUAUACGUUCGGUUGCUUAGUUUACUUUUGCGGGUCGAUUCCUAAACCUUGAUCAUUAUUUGGGCAUUUUUGGGAUCCAUUGUCAAUUCCUGUGGAUUCGAUAUCAACUUUGCUAAUUGGGUUCGCAUCAAUGUGAGCUUGGUAUUCUUCUAAACUCUGCAAAUUCAAUGUGAUUUCAAUGGAAAAAACAGCCCUUUGCUAUUGAUAUUAACUGUGUGUGGAUAAUAUGGUUUGAAUUAAAAUAUUAUGAGGUGAAAUUAAAAUGUGAUAACCUACAGUUACUGUGUUUUUGUCUCUUUCUCCUCCCAUGUGACAGCUUCCUCGUCAGUUAAACGGUAACAAUUUGAUUUAAGAAGAUCAAUAAAAAUGCCUAGCGAGAAGUAAAUAUCAAUAAAUGAAAAGAAGAGAGGCGAAAUUCAGGACAUCUCGAGAACGUCGCUAAUGAUUAUUGAUUAAGAGCACAACCUACAUGGCUGGAAGAAAAUGAUAAAAGAGUUUAUCAUAAAUGAUGGUAAACGAGUCCAAUAGAACCUAUCUGAAUUCAAACUUUUCAAUCCAACCGUAGAAAAACUUAAUUCUAAAACUCAAUCCAACCGUAGAAGAAAUUGGGAGAGGAGAUUUGGAGGGUUUAUUCUGAUACGAAGGAUUAUCUAACUUCAAAUAAAAAGGAGGAGGGUAUACUAUUCAUGCAAUAGUAAAUGAAUCCAAUUUUAUUAUGUAUAAUGUCAUUUUUUAUUUUUUUUUAUUUUGUUUAUGUCAAACAAAUAUUCUUCCACACAUCAUCCCACCAGUAUUAAAAAAUAAUUAUGUCAAACAAAUAUUUUUCUACACAUCAUGUCACUAGCAUUAAAAAAUUUUUUUUUCGUAAAUA